rnacentral:rRNA from 1 species
GACGAACGCUGGCGGCGUGCCUAAUACAUGCAAGUUGAGCGCUGAAGGUUGGUACUUGUACCAACUGGAUGAGCAGCGAACGGGUGAGUAACGCGUGGGGAAUCUGCCUUUGAGCGGGGGACAACAUUUGGAAACGAAUGCUAAUACCGCAUAAAAACUUUAAACACAAGUUUUAAGUUUGAAAGAUGCAAUUGCAUCACUCAAAGAUGAUCCCCGUUUUAUUAGCUAGUUGGUGAGGUAAAGGCCCACCAAGGCGAUGAUACAUAGCCGACCUGAGAGGGUGAUCGGCCACAUUGGGACUGAGACACGGCCCAAACUCCUACGGGAGGCAGCAGUAGGGAAUCUUCGGCAAUGGACGAAAGUCUGACCGAGCAACGCCGCGUGAGUGAAGAAGGUUUUCGGAUCGUAAAACUCUGUUGGUAGAGAAGAACGUUGGUGAGAGUGGAAAGCUCAUCAAGUGACGGUAACUACCCAGAAAGGGACGGCUAACUACGUG